rnacentral:rRNA from 1 species
UGCGUAGGCGGAAUAUUAAGUCAGUGGUGAAAUCCUGCGGCUCAACCGUAGAACUGCCAUUGAUACUGAUAUUCUUGAAUGUAGUUGAGGUAGGCGGAAUGUGUAAUGUAGCGGUGAAAUGCUUAGAUAUUACUCAGAACACCGAUUGCGAAGGCAGCUUACUAAACUAUGAUUGACGCUGAGGCACGAAAGCGUGGGGAGCGAACAGGAUUAGAUACCCUGGUAGUCC